ensembl:lncRNA
AGCCAGAGCCGAAGGAACAUGAACUCGGCUAUUCUUCAUGAAGGAUUAACUGCUAGAGAAACCCACCAAGGAGGAUAGUAAAUUUUCCAGCUCUGGUAUUUUCCAAUUAAGUUUGCAAGCUCUCCUGGAAAUAUGCUUCAACCAUCCCAGGACAAAUUACUGGGAGGAGUUUGAAUAUCAAGAGGAAAUAGUGAACACUGAAUCUGGUUCUCUGUGUACACCAGUCUACCCUCAUGCUGACCAUGUUCAAGAAACUGCAUUAGGAAUUUUAUUUUUUCUGCUGAGAAGGAGAGGAUGAAGGAGGAAAGAAUGACCAAUUAUAAACUCUGUUGUCUUUAGAUGAAAGAACCUUUUUGUGGUAUUCUUCAAUCUCUUGUUUGG